UGAUAUGAGGAAAUAUGACAGGUGCCUCAAU
rnacentral:piRNA from 1 species